rnacentral:rRNA from 1 species
GUGCAGCAGGCAAGAAUACUUUACAAUGUGCGAAAGCACGAUAAGGGAACUCUGAGUGCCUCCUAAGGAGGCUGUUCAGGUGUCUAAAAAGCACCUGGAGUAAGGGCUGGGUAAGACCGGUGCCAGCCGCCGCGGUAACACCGGCAGCCCAGGUGGUAGCCACUUUUAUUGGGUCUAAGGCGUCCGUAGCCGGUUGAGUAAGUUCCUUGGGAAAUUUGGCUGCUCAACAGUCAAGCUUCCAGGGAAUACUGCUCGACUUGGGACUGGGAGAGGUCAGAGGUACUCCAGGGGUAGGGUGAAAAUCCAUUAAUCCCUGGGGGACCACCGGUAGCGAAGGCGUCUGACCAGACCAGGUCCGACGGUGAGGGACGAAGGCUAGGGUCGCGAACCGGAUUAGAUA